CAGAGAACAUUUUCUUUUAUGGUAUAUCAUCAAGCAUAGACUUUGUGGAGAGGAGAACAUCACCAACUAUAUCACAAUGAUCUAACAUCUGGCCAUAAGAACAAUGGGUCAAAAGCUCAGAAUGAAGAUGGAGAAGGAAGAAGAAUUGGGACCAGUGAACUUCAAGUUAAACCUUCUGCCAUUCAAGAAGACCCUCGUGCCAUAGAGUAAGAAAAGAAAGAGAUGACUGUUUCAGAGUGGAAAGUAAAAGGGACUUGUACUGCAUGAGAGGGAGUGGACAAGCCUCCUGCUUUAGCAGAGGAAGAAGUGCCCCCUGUGGAAGCAGAGUUAGCAGAAGAGCCUCCUGCUUCAAGGGAGGAAGGUGAAGCACCACCGGCUGAGGGACACCUGAACCUUAAAAGUCGGGUUAAAAAGGCUCUCACAAAGAGAUGCCAGAGAAUUUGGGUAAUAUAUUUAUUUAGUUGCAAUCUCUUUUCAUGUGGUAAUGCAUCAUGCAGUGCAGUUCCACUUCACUUCCAGCUGUAUCAGUUGUUUAGACUGUCUACCCAAACAAUUGGAGUAAUAGAAAGGCAGCCAUAGUGAAUAUAGCCCUUUGUACACUCUAUGCCAGAGGCCAUAACUGAUAGGCCAGUCUAUGGCCACCUUUAGGCUCAGUGUCAGACUGGCCCACCAGGAUACCAGGAAAACUCUUGGUCGGCCC